UGAUGUUAUAGUGUCCAUGAAUGUACCUGAGUAAGGUAGGCCUUUCGCUGUAUUUCUUAAAACAUGCAUCAGUUUAGCUCUGUAGGAUUGUCAUUACGUAUGUGAUAGUAUACUUAAUCAUGUCAUAGUAUACUUAAUCACCAUAAUACCUUAGUUGUGAGACAGAAAUUUAACGUGGACAGAAUGUAAGGCCUACAUACAGUGUAUGUACAUCGACCUGCCACAUAUAUACCGGUACAUAUACAGAUUCUGUAAGACGGGUCGGAAGUUGGAGGUUACCCAGAAGAGAACCAUGACAGUUUGGCCAUUCCAGCCCAGACGGGAAAUGCCGAGAUGUUGCGAUUGAGAUUUGGCGGAAAAGGCCGAAUGUUGUACUCCAGAGAGGACAGAGGUUCGGCGGGGUCGAACAUGUCAGACAAAACAAACUCGUCCUAGUUUGUGGGCAGACUGUGCAAGUACGCGCACAAGGUGUGAAGAUGAUGAUCUGCCGUGACGUCUGCCAUGCCCAGCGACAGUUUUCGCUGCCUGACUCCUGAGAUAUCAUCCAUAUCUGCAGUGCAUCGCAUCACAAGUUACUGCCUCAACUUCUUGAAACUGGAUUGAGGUUUUUGUGCUUGCCGGAGACCACCUAUAACACAACAUCCAGCCCAGAGCACAAGACCGGGGCAGACCAUUGUGCUGAGCGAAAGAAAAAAAAAGAAUUGUCAAGAUUGUUCAACAGUUUUAAAGUUUAAACUCCGGUCGAAACUCGAGUAUCACGUUAACAAGGAGUAAGCAGAUCGAGGGGUAGAGGCAGAUUUGCUGCAUUAGUCGUCGUCAGGAGAUUUUUUUCCGCAACCAAGAAUGACAGAAACUGAAACCCCAGGCAUGUUCCCCAAACAGGAAAGUAGUCGCCAU